UGAAAAGAGAAAAGAAGAAAGAAAAAAAAGGAAAGAAGAAGAAGACAAAGGAGAGGGUGGAGCCGUGGAGACGAACAACGGAGCUUGAGGCGCUCGUCAGCAAUGGUGGGGCCGAACGGUUGAGGAAGGGAGAACGCCGACGGUUAUUGUCGAGGGAAGUUGGUGAGUCCUUGUGAAGAAGAAGACAUGGGGUGCUGUGAGGAAAGGAAGAUCAAGAAGAAGGUGGGAAGAAGAGGCCGAAAACUGAGGGGGCACGACCCGACCCGACCCACCUGUAUAGAACCGAAACCCGAUUUUUUACCCAUUUCACACCAUUUGAUUCGUCUUUCUUCAGAUUUAGGUACUUGACUCACACAUUUUAUAAUGUCUUAUUAUAGGAAAAUUCCAAUUAGCUUAGUCAAGGAGACACUUAAAGGCUCAGAUAAAGUUUUGGGAAGUCUACGAUCACGAGAAAAGUAGAUCUGGGUUGGUGGCGGGGACGUGUGGAGUCGUGCAGCUGCAGAAGUGGGCCCUUAGAUUGAGUCCUCUUCUCCCAUGUCGUUUUGGUUAUGAUUUUGACGUUUUUGGAAAACCUGCGAUAUUUUGUAACCGUUUCUUUUUAUGUGACUCCGUGGAUUCUUGUUAUGUGUUUUGUAGUAUUUUUUUUGAAAUGUAUAUAUUAGGCAAUUUUUAACUUUUAGUCCCUUGUUCAAACAACAAGAAGUAUCGAAAGUUUUUUUUUUACUCA